UGUCCAUACCACACUAAACAUCAGUUCUGGUAUGACCACCAAAGUUAAGCAACACUGAGCCUGGUCAGUACCUGGAUGGGAGACCAUUUCGAAAUACUAGGUGUUGUAA